AGAGUUUGAUCCUGGCUCAGAACGAACGCUGGCGGCAGGCUUAACACAUGCAAGUCGAACGAGAAUUAAGAGCUUGCUCUUAAGGACAGUGGCAGACGGGUGAGUAACGCGUGGCAACCUACCUAUCAGUACGGAACAACAGUUAGAAAUGACUGCUAAUACCGUAUACGUCCUCCGGGAGAAAGAUUUAUCGCUGAUAGACGGGGCCGCGUUAGAUUAGCUAGUUGGUGAGGUAAAAGCUCACCAAGGCGACGAUCUAUAGCUGGUCUGAGAGGAUGACCAGCCACACUGGGACUGAGACACGGCCCAGACUCCUACGGGAGGCAGCAGUGGGGAAUAUUGGACAAUGGAGGCAACUCUGAUCCAGCCAUGCCGCGUGAAUGAUGAAGGCCUUAGGGUUGUAAAAUUCUUUCGCUAGGGAUGAUAAUGACAGUACCUAGUAAAGAAGCCCCGGCUAACUCCGUGCCAGCAGCCGCGGUAAUACGGAGGGGGCUAGCGUUGUUCGGAAUUACUGGGCGUAAAGCAUGCGUAGGCGGAUUGGAAAGUUAGAUGUGAAAUCCCAAGGCUCAACCUUGGAACUGCAUUUAAAACUCCCAAUCUAGAGUUCUGGAGAGGUAAGUGGAAUUCCUAGUGUAGAGGUGAAAUUCGUAGAUAUUAGGAGGAACACCAGAGGCGAAGGCGGCUUACUGGACAGAUACUGACGCUGAGGCACGAAAGUGUGGGGAGCAAACAGGAUUAGAUACCCUGGUAGUCCACACCGUAAACGAUGAGAGCUAGUUGU
rnacentral:rRNA from 1 species